rnacentral:rRNA from 1 species
AUUGAACGCUGGCGGCAUGCCUUACACAUGCAAGUCGAACGGCAGCACGUGUUCUUGCACCUGGUGGCGAGUGGCGAACGGGUGAGUAAUACAUCGGAACAUGUCCUGUGGUGGGGGAUAGCCCGGCGAAAGCCGGAUUAAUACCGCAUACGAUCUACGGAUGAAAGCGGGGGACCUUCGAGCCUCGCGCUAUAGGGUUGGCCGCUGGCUGAUUAGCUAGUUGGUGGGGUAAAGGCCUACCAAGGCGACGAUCAGUAGCUGGUCUGAGAGGACGACCAGCCACACUGGGACUGAGACACGGCCAAGACUCCUACGGGAGGCAGCAGUGGGGAAUUUUGGAGAAUGGGCGAAAGACUGAUCGAGCAAUGCCGCGUGUGUGAAGAAGGCCUUCGGGUUGUAAAGCACUUUUGUCCGGAAAGAAAUCCUUGGCCCUAAUACGGUCGGGGGAUGACGGUACCGGAAGAAUAAGCAACGGCUAACUACGUG